AUCCUCCAGAUUCCUUAUCCAUCUUGGUCUGAGUGGCUAUAAAAGAUGGAAAAGUAAAACUGAAAUGAACUUGAAUUCUUUUGUGAUAUACAAGUUGGCUUCAAACAAAG
rnacentral:snoRNA from 1 species